rnacentral:rRNA from 1 species
UACAGAGGGGGCAAGCGUUAUUCGGAAUUAUUGGGCGUAAAGGGCGCGUAGGCGGCCUGGCAAGUGGAAGGUGAAAUCCCUCGGCUUAACCGAGGAACUGCCCUCCAAACUGCUUGGCUUGAGACCGGGAGAGGUGAGUGGAAUUCCCAGUGUAGAGGUGAAAUUCGUAGAUAUUGGGAAGAACACCGGUGGCGAAGGCGGCGACCUGGUCCGUGACUGACGCUGAGGCGCGAAAGCGUGGGGAGCAAACAGG